rnacentral:lncRNA from 1 species
AAAAUCUUUACACAAUAAACAUAACUUAAAUCCAUUCAAAUACUUACAUUUAUUUUUUUGGCGUCGAACAACAAAACAUUUUGUUCAUGUAACUAUUGUCACGAUCCAAGUUAAUAGCACAUACUGUUCGCUUUGGCCCAAUAGACCUUACGGAUUUAUCCUUUAGGCCACGCAAUCAUCGAGCCUAAAGUACGAGUGCCAUGUGAAUUAUAUAUCACGCCUUAUAAAACUCUUCACUUUUCUCUCUCAUUCAAUAUGGGAUUCAUUUAUGGUGACAUGUGCCCUCCGUCUUCAGAACCAGGGGCGGAUCUACAAUAUUGGGUACGGGUUCCUGGGAAUCCAAUAACUUUUGUCCGGUCUUGUAUUUGUAUCGAGAAAUACACUAAAUGUAUAAAUAAAUUUAGCUGGGAACCCAAUACUGGAAGCGACUGUUGGUUCAGCGGCAAAUGAGGACCCUCCUUAGACUAUGUUUUUGUAAGUUGGUUGAUGAGGGUUCGAAUCCUAUAUUUGACAGUUUUUUAACUUCACCUUUGGUUUUUUCACAAAACGACAUCCGCAGGCACUUGUGUUGUUUCUAUUUUCUUCUUAAUAAACACUACAAAUGAAGUUAAAUUAAAAGAGGCCAGCCAAAUAAAAGAACUUGCUGAAAUUUUUUGUCCCGAUCAGUUAUUAUUGUAUAUUAUUUGAGAUCACUGGAAAUGGGAACCUAUAAGGUUCAAAUCCUGGAUCCGCCUCUGUUCAGAACAUUGCCAGCUUGAAAGCUUGUCUGUCCUACUUGACCCGUCAUUGUCGGCCCGCUCUCCAUCAUGAGCAUCAUAACUAUCACAUUAGGAUUCCUUUUAGUACCAAAUGGUUCUAAUUGCUAAAGUAUAAAAGAAAGUAAUGAGAUUAGUGAAACCUAAAAGAUUUAUAAAGGUGGUCUCCGUGGAAAUAAACUACUAGGAGACAAUAAUCUUUUGUUUGCUCUACGCCAAAAAAAAAAAAAAAAAAAAAACUUUUUCUUUUUCCUUUUGUGGGCAUAAUUCUAGAAGUUAAUCUAAAGGAGAUUAUUGUUGGAAAAUGGAUAGGGUUAAUAAUUCAACAGAGGAGCAGUAGGGGGUAUAUAGUUAUAUGUGAAUAAAGAAUGAUAUAUUCCAUAAGAAAACAGCAUUUAAGGGAGAAGAAGAUCGAUGAGAAGCCAGCUGUAGUGUUCAUUGUUUUGUAUGAAUUAAAGGCUAGUGUUAUUAAGUGUUGGGUAGUUGUAUGAUAUUAAUAUGGUUAUUUACCACUUCUUAUUUAAAAUUUUGGGUCCACCGUGACACUCUGGGGCUGUACACUUCCUUUAUAUCAUUCACAUACCCUGUGAAAACGAGACCAGAGUCAAUCUCUUUUUCUUUGCUGCGAAAUCAGAAUUUUUACUAAUGUGUUAAAAUAUAAAAAAAAAAAUAAACACAUAAAAAGUCAAAGUAUAUAUAUAUAUAUGUAUUUUUUUCUUUUUUACCUGACUAUGCAGUAUAAUUUUUUCCGGUAAAAGGGUAUCAGUUAACAUAUGCUUCCUCCCUCUCUCAACUCGGAUACUAAAAAAUAUUUUGACAUGAUAUUUCAUUUCUUUAUUUCCUGCUUAAUUAAUAUUUUUUCUUCAAAAAUCAUUCAAACAAUUAAAUUUCACCUGGAAAAAACGUUUAACAUUUUUAACAACUGGAUUUUCUCUAUAAUUUUAUUGGAUAUAGAAUAUAUUUUCCUUGUCGUUUGUUUACUGUGAAACUUAUUAUAUGAUGAAUCUUUUUGUAUAUAUGAAGAUGAUUAAAAACAAAAAGUCAGAUAAUAAUACUAGUGAAACUUUUGUUUUUCUUCCUUUAAGUUUGAAAAUGGUAUCAACUUCAAUAAGCGAUAAUUUUAUCUUUGACACACCCAUUAAGAAAAUUAUAAACUCCUAAAGAAAGAAAAUAUAUUCACUAAAUUAAACUUAAUUAAUUGUUACCCUGACACAUUGGAAUAUGUAAAUAAGGGCAAAUUUUAAAAAAAUAAAAUUAAUUCCUUCUUGAUUACGUAAGUGGACACUUAUUUUGGACAAAAAUAAAAAGGUAAGUAUUACUAAUUACUAAGUAUGAGAAUUUUUGGCUAAAAUUAUUCCUUAUCUUUAAGGGUAAGUUUAACUUUAUCCUCCACAUAUACCUUGAGUACCAAUUGUCUUCUAAAUUUGCAAAAGUUGAGCGCUUUUCGUCCAUACAACAUCCAUUAGAAAGCUAGCAGCAACAUGCGAUCUGCAGGUGAUACGUUUCAGUUUUCACCUCCAAAUCUUCUUUCAAGAAUUGUUCGGCUGAAAAUUACAUACGUAGUUUCACUAAUUCAAACAAGACCCAGAUCGCGGGCAAGUCCCAGAUAGCAUUGUUAGUACACUGUAUUUAUAAAAUAAUUUUGGAAAAGGAAAUUAACAUAUAAAAUAGAAAUGUAGAAGAAACAGAAUUUUAUCCGAGCCCACUGAAUUCAUAGUGUUUCCUUAAAGAACUUAAUCCCUUCCUAAUACCCGAGGUUGUGGAUUAUUUCCUCCUAGAAUAGAACGGAUUACACACUGGUGUAACGGUACUUCAAACCCCAUUAUUUCAACGAACACAAGUUUUAAAGCUUAAAUCGUCCAUACUGACAUUCUAAGUUUACCGACUAUGUAGGUUGUUUGAAUCCGGUGGAAGUAAUAAUUUUCUCCGGUAGAAAAGCUGGCAAUCGACUGAUUUUGGGGGUGAAAGAGAGCUGGAUUUAAAUAAAAAAAAUGUUUCAUGUGUAGUUGAGUAAUGGCUCUGCUAGUUUUCUAGCGAAUGUCAUGUUAUUUGUUAGUUGGACUAAAGGCGGUUAACUUUUGCUAACUUAGAGGAUAAUUCACGCUCAAUAUUAUAUUUGAAGGACAAAGUUAAAUUUACCCUGAAAAGAUAAGGGAUAAUUUUGGUAAAAAAAAACUCCUAAGUAUGAGCAAUAGCAAACGCAUUUAGAAGUGAAACAAUUACUAUGAACAUAUUAUUUGAUUAAUAUCUUCAUAAGUAUUUACGAGAGAGAGAGAGUCCAUUGUUAUUUUAUUUUCUCUUAUUAAUUAUUAAUGUUCAUUCAAUUCUGAGGCUAGCUAACUUGGUUUAAAAAAACCAUUCUUACAAAGGAGUAAUUACGUACUAGUACAAGUAAAGAAAAGGAAAAAAAAUAUGUAGUGAUAGAAUUAUCAACUUAAACAAUUUUUUGCAAUACUACAUUAUUUAUGCUAACAAACACCACAUAUUCCUUUCUCGCAAAAUCUACAUAGGCAUAAUCACCCAGCUAGUAUAGGCGAAAAACCUAAAAUAACCUAACUGCAAAAAAAAAAAUUAAAAGUUAUGGAAUUAAAAAAAAUUACAUGUGUAAUUAAACUAAGCUAUCUAUACCAUAAUUUGUACAAAAUUGAAAUUGGUGAAUACAAAUAUUGAAUCACCAAUAUAAUACAGAGGAAAACUCUACAACCAAAAGACAAACUAAUGAAUGAAAAUUAAAUUACUAUACCUUUAACGGAUAGCAAGAGGAACUCUAAAUGCAGAAUUCAAGCCUUUCUUUUCUUGUUGUGUAGAGGAUUUGGUCCAGUGGGAACUCUCCUCUUAUCGGACUCAAAGCCUCUAGCAAACGGCGCACUCGCCUGAGGUUGAAAAACUUGAUGUUUUCUCGCCAUCGACGGACCGGAAAAUCGUGCCGCCGGUGGACGGCCGAUGGCGUGAAGUAAUACAAUUUGAGAAGUGAAGAGGAGAAAGAAGAAGAAAAAGAAAUGAAAGAGACUGUUCAUGAUUGAAGAAUGUUGUUAUGUUAAAGUGCUAGAAAAGGUU